GCAGCCUUCCUUCGCGCAAUUAAAAAAACAGGACCCACUCCCGUCCCACGUCCCGUCUCCCAACUCCCAAGUCCCAAUCUCCCCCACCUCUCUCUCCCGAUCCGUCCUCUCUCUCGAUCUCAUGAGAAAAAUCGCCACCUUCGCCUCCGCCCCAACACUCGUCCGCCACGAUGAACUGCCCAUCUCCAUCGCCGUUCGAUGCUCGUCUCGGUCACCGUGGCGCAGCCCGUGCAAGCCGCCCUUGUACGGCCUCCUCGCCUCCGCCACCGCAACAACCGUCGCUUCCAUGGACUACGUCGACGAGCGGCCAACCAGAUCCAGUGCAGCGCCGCCGAUGUCUGGGUGGAAGACGAGCGCGAGCUUCCGGGGUCAGCAUACCACCGGGAAGGAGGGCAGACGGAUGAGAGGGAGGCUCUCCAAGGAGGAAGCCGGCCAGCUUGUCACCAGGGGAGGCCGACCAGCAUAUAUAGGCAUGGUUGUCGUUGGCAGAGAUUGUGUAGGGAUGGACUAUCUUUGAGAUCCUGCGGUACAUGUCGGAGCAUAACUGGUCGGCGUACGAGGAGGCCCUCAAGGCCAAUCCGGUUCUUGCCAAGAUGAUGAUCAGCAGCGUCGUCUACUCCCUCGGCGACUGGAUAGCCCAGGGUGCUCUAGCGUGACGACACGCCUACUUAGUUCCUAGCGCUCGCGAACGCCGGAGUUGGACGCGCCCAUGCAUGCAUUUUAGCUCCGAGGACGGCAUCGUGAACGCACAUACUCAGGUGCUCCUCAGCAGCAGUUGAUCCACGUGGGGUUCUACUUGAGUUCCUCCGUCCCCUGGCAGCGAGGCAGCAGGUCCCCGUCCCCCUCUCCGUCUCCGGCAUGUUGAUCCUGGUGGCGUCACAGUGGUGGUGUGUGUGGUGUCAUGUCACAAUAAGGUAGCAUCUGUUCUUUCCCCACCCUAAUUUUUGUGGUCAGCGUCCGGAGCCCAACCUACCGAUCGUUGUCCCCAAACCUCACCGACUUCUUCUAUGGGUGCUCUUUCUUCCCCCUCUCUCGUUUCACUUGACGCUGAUAGCUGAUUGCUAGCAUCCUCGGUUGUGCUCAUGUCUUCUAAAUUUGGCAUGGUAUGCAUUUGCUUGAGAUGAGGGUAUGGGAUGGAGGUGGCUCUAAUUUCAAGGCUGUGGUUUAUUGGGCUUAUAAUGUCGACAUGAUUAAUGAUAUGAACCGUAUGUUUUGUUUUCCACAAAAUAGGUUUUUUCUAUGCAAUAUGAGGCUAGGUUUCAAUAACAUGUGCCUUGCAUUCGAUGGCUAUACAGUAACAUGCUCUCUGAGAAAAGGUUAUGUUUCAUGUUAUUAUUAUCUAUUGCCUUGCAUUCGAUGGAAAAUUGACAACCGCUAUGUCAUAUCUUUGCCCACUCAUGAUGCCAAUAAAUAGUUCAAAAAAAUUAGAAAGACUUAUAUAUUUCACUAUGCUAGCUACAUAUGUUUAUGAUGGUUUAUUUUCACCAAAUUUUGUUGCACUUUGACAGUAGACUAUGUGAUAAUUUGUAAUAGAGUUCAGAGAAACUGGCAACACACAGUUCCAAAAGAGUGCAAUGCACAUGGAAGGAAAGACUGUAGUAUUAGCUGUUGUAAUCUACGAAAUUUCGUACUGCGUGAGUAAGGUUAAGAAUGACCAACUGAUUGAACUUGUUCACAACAUUAACAGUAAUCAUGAUAAACUUAGUAUUCCUGACUUUCUAUUUCUUGUUGUUUUCUACUGUGGACCUAUUUGCAGGUUUUUACAGAGGAAUUAGUUUAGGUGUUACUGGUUCACUUGCUACAGCUGAAACAUAUUUUGCUGUUAUUGUUAUUGAAUGAACUAAGAUAUGGCUGGAGCACACUAAUCCUAAUCUAAGAGGUCAUUUCUCUCACUUAUUUGCUGGAGGAGUUAGAGAGAAAUUUUUUUAUGACCACUGUGUUUUCUUUCCAGAAAAUCUGCAUGACGUGGCGUAAAAUUUAUAUUGGUUCUCAGCAUGUUACUAGGAUCUUGCUGCACAAAUGGAUUUUUGUAUGUCCUGCAUGGAGUUCUCGAUAAGUUAAUCCUUGUCAUUUUUUAGUGCCACCAAUGCAUGUGGUCUUUGUAUAUUAAAACUUUUCCGGUCUCUGUUUUGGCUCAUGUAAUACUUACCGAUACGAUUUACUUGUUCAUCAGAAUAAUGUGUUGAUUCCUUGACACA